rnacentral:rRNA from 1 species
UUUUCAGNUGAACGCUGGCGGCAUGGCUAAAGCAUGCAAGUCUGGGAGAACCUUCGGGGGAAACCGGCGAAAGGGCGAGUAAUGCGAUCGAACGUACCCCAAUGUGGGGGAUAGCGUCGGGAAACUGGCGGUAAUAUCCCGUGUGCUCUACGGAGGAAGUUGGGAGCGGCGAUCGUCCUAUCAGGUUGUUGGCGGGGUAAAGGCCCACCAAGCCGAAGACGGGUAGCGGGUUUGAGAGCAUGGCCCGCCGCAUCGGGACUGAGACACUGCCCGGACUCCUACGGGAGGCUGCAGCGACGAAUCUUCCGCAAUGCGCGAAAGCGUGACGGAGCAAUGCCGCGUGUAGGAUGAGGGCGCUCUGCGUCGUAAACUACUGUCAGACCCUAGAACCAACGAUCAGGGUCAGAGGAAGGGCCGGCUAAACUCGUGCCAGCAGCCGCGGUAAUACGAGUGGCCCAAGCGUUAAUCGGAAUCACUGGGCUUAAAGCGUGCGCAGGCGGACCUUCAGGCGUCCCCGUGAAAUACCCCGGCUCAACCGGGGAAUGGCUGGGCGAACCGUUGGUCUUGAGGCAGGUAGGGGGGUGCAGAACUGUUGGUGGAGCCGUGAAAUGCGUCAUAUCCUUCGGAAUGCCCAAGGCGAAGGCCG